rnacentral:rRNA from 1 species
UACGGGGGAUGCGAGCGUUAUCCGGAUUUAUUGGGUUUAAAGGGUGCGUAGGCGGGAUGCCAAGUCAGCGGUAAAAAUGCGGUGCUCAACGCCGUCGAGCCAUUGAAACUGGCGUUCUUGAGUGGGCGAGAAGUAUGCGGAAUGCGUGGUGUAGCGGUGAAAUGCAUAGAUAUCACGCAGAACUCCGAUUGCGAAGGCAGCAUACCGGCGCCCUACUGACGCUGAGGCACGAAAGCGUGGGUAUCGAACAGG